rnacentral:lncRNA from 1 species
UACAAUACUACGACACAAAGAUGAUAUAUGUGUGGUGUACCUGUAUUGGACAAAUUUGGUUUUCAACGCCCAUAUACCAUCCAUAAACGUUCUUGAUGAAGAAAGUGACCUCAUUAUGAUCGACUCAAGCAAGGCCGGCCUCAGUCAAUAAAUGGACCGAGUGACAUGACUUGCUACAACGUCACAUCAAACAUUGACAUUCGUAUGUUGAGG